AUGACAAAGAUGGGACGCUUUUGCACUGGAUAUUGCAAAUUGUAUGUGUUUAUUUUCCUAUAUUUCCCUGUUCUUCUCUGUGUAGGGCUGUGUAGAAGUGAACACAGGAUGUUCACAUCUGUGAAGGCAACAGAAACGUCAUUCCAAAUUGCAAUGGAGACAGAGAGCAUCCGGUCGGGCGGAUUCUUUACCAAGCUGAGUCACCAGGGAAGCCGGAAGAAGGACCAGCUGGUCUGUUUAUCAGUGACAGAAGACAGGAGGAGGAGAGAACCGUUUCUGAGUGAGGCAAUCAAAUCUGUCUUGGUCGCUUCAUGGCCGGAAGGCCCUUGGAUAGCAAGCCUGGAGUGUGGGAAAUGCUGUCUCCUCACAGGAUGGAUGCCGUCAGAAGUCUUAUUCCCAUGUGUAAGGCCAUUCCCAGCGGCAAACAUCUGGGGGAGAAGGCGCUCCGCUGGCAAGUUAAGAAGUGGCCGAGGUCAACUCUGGCAUUAGUACCCUUCCUUCUCCGGUAUGAGGAUGCGAAUGCCAGGAUAGCCUGGAGCUGGGGUCUUUCUAGAGAGACGGCGAGGACCCAGAGGGUAAGGACGUCAUUAGAAGGAGUCACGUGGUCAUGAUGCCUCUGGGUCCGAGAGGGCAGGUACUU
rnacentral:lncRNA from 1 species